rfam:Danio rerio chromosome 8, GRCz11 reference primary assembly.
UCCGGCAGCCAUCUCUCUGCAACCCUCACAUGGUCGCCCACUGUAGCUAAGCAGGGCUGCGCCCGGUCAGUACCUGGAUGGGAGACCACAUGGGAAAGCUUGGUUGCUGCCGGAA